rnacentral:rRNA from 1 species
CGCGUAGGUGGCGCGACAAGUCAACGGUGAAAGCCCGGGGCUCAACCCCGGGUCGGCCGUCGAUACUGUUGGGCUCGAGCACUGUAGAGGCAGGUGGAAUUCCGGGUGUAGCGGUGGAACGCGUAGAGAUCCGGAAGAACACCGGUGGCGAAGGCGGCCUGCUGGGCAGUAGCUGACACCGAGGCGCGACAGCGUGGGGAGAAAC